UCGUAGGUACCCGGCGGC
rnacentral:sRNA from 1 species